rnacentral:rRNA from 1 species
GACGAACCGUCCAAACGUUAUUCGGAUUCACUGGGCUUAAAGGGUGCGUAGGCGGCUCAGAAAGUAGGGUGUGAAAGCCCUCGGCUCAACCGAGGAAUUGCGCUCUAAACUACUGGGCUUGAGGAACGCAGAGGUAAGCGGAACUUACGGUGGAGCGGUGAAAUGCGUUGAUAUCGUAAGGAACACCAGGAGCGAAAGCGGCUUACUGGGCGUUUUCUGACGCUGAUGCACGAAAGCUAGGGGAGCGAACGGG